UGGGGAAUAUUGCACAAUGGGCGCAAGCCUGAUGCAGCCAUGCCGCGUGUAUGAAGAAGGCCUUCGGGUUGUAAAGUACUUUCAGUCGGGAGGAAGGUGGUAAGGUUAAUAACCUUGUCGAUUGACAUUACCCGCAGAAGAAGCACCGGCUAACUCCGUGCCAGCAGCCGCGGUAAUACGGAGGGUGCAAGCGUUAAUCGGAAUUACUGGGCGUAAAGCGCACGCAGGCGGUCUGUCAAGUCGGAUGUGAAAUCCCCGGGCUCAACCUGGGAACUGCAUUCGAAACUGGCAGGCUAGAGUCUUGUAGAGGGGGGUAGAAUUCCAGGUGUAGCGGUGAAAUGCGUAGAGAUCUGGAGGAAUACCGGUGGCGAAGGCGGCCCCCUGGACAAAGACUGACGCUCAGGUGCGAAAGCGUGGGGAGCAAACAGG
rnacentral:rRNA from 1 species